AUGUUACAUCACCAAGUGCUCUGUCAACUGCCCCACGACAGGGACCAUGUCUGACACAGCUCUUCACCUCUUUCACCGCAUCUCUCUGCAACUAAGAAAUGCUUGCUGACUUUUCUCAUAAAUUGGAUUUAUCUGAGCCAUUUAUUAUUAUUUUUUCCUGAAAAAUCACACACUUUUCCUUUUAUAGUUUUGGUUCCCUGGUAACUCUAUGCAAGCACCACACAUCAUUGUUCACUGUUGUGCUAUAUGCUGUGGACCAGGUGGGGUUUUGAUUUGAGGUACUACGGCCUACUGGGGGAAAGAUGGCUACACACACUACCUUCUUCCUGGAAAGUAUGCCCCUGAACAGCACGGGGCCGAGGCCACACAGACAGCUGACCGAGCGGCUGUCAGGCACCAGGGACAGACCCGAGGGUCCACUGCAGAGAACAGCCCGGCGGCUUUCUCCUGCUCCUCCUUGGGAGCAUUUCAAGUGCAGAGAGGCACUGAAGGUGAAAACUGGAAACCUCAAUUAAAAAGAGUCUAAAAGGCAGAGCUGGCUGAAUGAAGAGUCACAAGCAAUGUGAAAGUGAAUUAAAAAUGAAACCAACUGUCAGCAGAAAUAAACAUGUAUAUGAGUUCCUA